rfam:Haemonchus contortus, ISE/inbred ISE, WGS project CAVP01000000 data, contig: Hcontortus_32386
GGCGCUUAUCAAAUCUGAAGUAGGGUAGAUUAGUAAGGUCAGCUGAUCCUACUAUCCUACUGUACUUCAAAAUUGGGCCC